UGUUUUCUCUUGUAAUUUCAACUAGAGAGAAGGUCUUCCCAAUGUGACCAUAUAUACAGAUCUCCUGAAAAGAAACUUACAAAACCCAAACAGAAGGAAAGACUCAUGAAGAAAAUGUGCCUGGCUUUAGUGGAUUUGAUGAAGAGGAAUUUUCCAUUAUAGACACAGCAAUAACAAUGCAAUACAUACUGGAUGAAGAUCACCAUUUUCUUUGACCUAAGGAAGGAAUCUGGGGAUGGGGAGCAGAGGCAACGCUCCAGAUUACUCUUUCACUGAAAAGCAGCAUCAUAAUGAUGAGCUACUGCCUAUCAGAGUCCCAGAGCCCUGCUACUGUACCUUGUAAAUCAGCUCCCCAGAAGCCUUCCAGCUUUGGCACACACAGCCACUGUCUUCAUUGGAUGGCCAGGACAACAGGAUCAACAGCAACCAGGUGGAUUUGACAGCUGACAGCAUUUACAGCAGAUUCCAGGGCAAGUGCCAAAGGGUGUGAUGUCUGAGGUUCAUCUGGUAUGCUCCUGCAUUCUUCCAUUUUUUAGCCACAAAGUAAGUGAUGACUUUAAUAUUUGUCUUUAUAAAGUGGGUAGGAGUUAUAUUGGCUAUACUGUUACUUGGCAGCCUUAAUGGCAGUGUGCUCAUGAUUAAUAAGGAAUAACUAUCUUGCAAUUCAGCCAUAGAAUGAAAUGGGACAUUUCAGUAGCACUAACCAAAGAAAAUGUUGGCAGUG
rnacentral:lncRNA from 1 species